rnacentral:tRNA from 2 species
UCCUCAUUAGUAUAGUGAUAUCCCUGCCUGUCACGCGGGAGACCAGGGUUCGAUUCCCAGACAAGGAG